GCUGCCUAUAAAGCUGUAACAGUUUAGCCUGUAGCCACUGAGGGAAGAAUUUAAGUUAACCUCUGUAGUGACCAUGUGGAAAUCCUGACCUUGCUUGCAGACUUGACCUCUGGAUAUGACAAGGUAGCUUCAAUACAGAUUUACCAUUUACUCCUGGAAAUGAAACACCAAAAAAAAAAAAAAAAAAAAAAAUCUCAUAGCAAGAAAGAUGCAGAAUUAUUUCCUAAGAAGUCAGAAGAACCCAGUGUAUUCUGAUGGGCAAAGGAAAAUAGUAUGGAUGUUUAUGGUGAGAUUCUGUGUUCACUGAUACUUCCCUCUGACUUCACCGACUCAUGAAAAGAAGUGCUGAAUCAGCGGAUAGAGUGAAGGAACAAUCAAGAUGAGAUGGCUGCUGCUGAUGUGACUCUCUAGGUCAUUAUCUUUCUUCCUGCUGCAAAUGCUGCAUGACACUAAGCUCACAGGAUCUAGAAGCACACUACAAAAUAAGAAGAAUUUCACUCUGAAGACUCUGAAGAAAUACUAGGCUGAUUGUAUAAAUUUCUGAAACACACUCUGUAAAAACUCCACUGGUUCUAUAAAGCUAUUGCAAAAAGGACCAAACCAGGAUAAAGUACAACAGAUAACUGGUCAAUGUUUAGAAGUGUAUGUCCACCAACAAGGAACCAUAAAUGGCCUUAAUGC